rnacentral:tRNA from 1 species
UGGGGUACAGCUCAAGUGGUAGAGCACAUGUUUCGCAUGCACAAGGUCCUGGGUUCAAUCCCCAGUACCUCCU